rnacentral:rRNA from 1 species
CCUACGGGUGGCAGCAGUGAGGAAUAUUGGUCAAUGGGCGCGAGCCUGAACCAGCCAAGCCGCGUGAAGGAUGACUGCCCUACGGUUUGUAAACUUCUUUUAUAUGGGAGUAAAAUGUUCCAAGUGUGGGAUUUUGUAUGUACCAUAUCAAUAUGGAUCGGCUCACUACGGGCCAGCAGCCGCCGUAAUACGGAGGAUGCGAGCGUUAUCCGGAUUUAUUGGGUUUAAAGGGAGCGUAGAUGGGUUGUUAAGUCAGUUGUGAAAGUCUGGGGCUCAACCGUAAAAUUGCAUUUGAUACUGGGAGUCUUGAGUACAGGUGAGGUAGGCGGAAUUCGUGGUGUAGCGGUGAAAUGCUUAGAUAUCACGAAGAACUCCGAUUGCGAAGGCAGCUUACUAGACUGCAACUGACAUUGAGGCUCGAAAGUGUGGGUAUCAAACAGGAUUAGAUACCCCAGUAGUC